rnacentral:rRNA from 1 species
AGUGAACGCUGGCGGUAGGCCUAACACAUGCAAGUCGAACGGCAGCACAGUAAGAGCUUGCUCUUACGGGUGGCGAGUGGCGGACGGGUGAGGAAUACAUCGGACUCUACUUUUUCGUGGGGGAUAACGAAGGGAAACUUACGCCAAUACCGCAUACGACCUACGGGUGAAAGCAGGGGAUCUUCGGACCUUGCGCGAUUGAAUGAGCCGAUGACGGAUUAGCUAGUUGGCGGGGUUAAAGCCCACCAAGGCGACGAUCGGUAGCUGGUGUGAGUGGAUGAUCGGCCACACUGGAACUGGGCCACGGUCCUGGCUCCUGCGGUACGCCGCAGUGGGGAAUGUUGGGCAGUGGUCGCAAGCCUGAUCCAACCGUCCCGCGUGGGUGAAGAAGGCCUUCGGGUUGUAAAGCCCUUUUGUUGGGAAAGAAAAGCAGCAGGUUAAUACCCCGCUGUUCUGACGGUACCCGAUAAAUAAGCACCGGCUAACUUCGUG